rnacentral:rRNA from 2 species
CUCCUACGGGAGGCAGCAGUAGGGAAUCUUCCGCAAUGGGCGAUAGCCUGACGGAGCAACGCCGCGUGUGUGAUGAAGGUCUUCGGAUCGUAAAACUCUGCUAUUAGGGAAGAACAUAUGUGUAAGUAACUGUGCACAUCUUGUCUGUACCUAAUCAGAAAGCCACGGCUAACUACGUGCCAGCAGCCGCGGUCAUACGUAGGCGGCAAGCGCUAUCCGGACUUAUUGGGCGCAAAGCGCGCGUAGGCGGCUUGUUAAGUCUGAUGUGAAAGCCCACGGCCCAACCGACGAGGGCCAUUGGGAACUGGAAAACUUGCGAGCAGAAGAGGAAAGUGGAAUUCCAUGUGUAGCGGUGAAAUGCGCAGAGCAAUGGAGGAACACCAGUGGCGUAGGAGA